rnacentral:rRNA from 1 species
UACGAAGGGGGCUAGCGUUGCUCGGAAUCACUGGGCGUAAAGCGCACGUAGGCGGAUUGUUAAGUCAGGGGUGAAAUCCUGGAGCUCAACUCCAGAACUGCCUUUGAUACUGGCGAUCUCGAGUCCGGGAGAGGUGAGUGGAACUGCGAGUGUAGAGGUGAAAUUCGUAGAUAUUCGCAAGAACACCAGUGGCGAAGGCGGCUCACUGGCCCGGUACUGACGCUGAGGUGCGAAAGCGUGGGGAGCAA